CUCUCUUUUCCCUUAUAUUUUUCUUCAUUUUCGAUUAUAAAUUUUAAGCCCUAAGAAAUAAUUCAUUCCCAAUUUUGUUUCUGUCUUGGUUGUUAUAAUUUUUACUUUUUAGUGGAUCUAUGGUUGGAAUUGUAAGAUAAUAUGUAGCAAGAUUCUUUUUAAGGUUAUUUCCAGCAUUUGAAGAUACUUUAGGAUGUAAGUGUAAAUACCAUUUUUUAUUUUGAGUAGAAGCACCUUUUGUAUGUUCAUUUUACGUUUUUACUGUAUAUUCCGUUAGUUUUUGAUUGAACAUAAAUAAUUGUGAUAUUUGGAAGGAAAAAAAAGUAGAAAAAGGGUAUUUGGAAGCUGAAAUUGUAUUUGGACAUGCAUUUAACUUGAAAAAAGUAGAAGUUUUGUGAGUGAAAAAAAUUCACUUGAAAAACUUGUCACAAACUUUAAACUCAGCUUCCAAAAUAAUUUCAAAAAAAUCAGUACUAUAUAUAACCAAACCAAUGCUGUUUUGAAUUCUUUUUUUCGAAAAAAAGGAAAAAAGUUCAUGUCCAAACGGGCCCCAGGUGUUUGAAGCGAACCAAAAAUAUUCACUUUCUUAAGUUAAGCAGUAUGCAUUAAGGAUCAAAAAGUGGAUGUUAUGCUAUUGAUCGUGUUUUAACCCACCAAAUCUCAACUGUGGAAGGCAAGGAGCUCAAACCCUGGCCCCACCAGCAGAUGCAGCGCUAGAUGGAAAAAGAGUUGUUGUUGAAGGGGAUAGAGAAGAUAGAAUCAGUGAUUUACCAAGAAAUGUUAUAGAUCAUAUCCUUGAGCUCUUGCCGGUUCAAGACGCAACAAGAACUAGCAUUUUGUCCCGAAACUAGAGAUAUAUUUGGGCCGUAAUUCCACAUUUGGUUUUGAAUCACGACUUCUGUUGUGAGUUAACAGAGUCCCAAUCCAACUUCAAAGAAGCAGUAGAUGGUCUGUGCUACCGGCGACGAUGCAGAAGCAGUUUGGAAUUAUCUAGACACGCCAUCCUGCUUGGAACGACCACUUGACAAGCUCAAGCAAGUGACCAUCAAGUUUUUUUGGAGUUCAAAAGCUGAACUGCUUUUUGUAAAGCUAUUGCUUUCUCGCACUCCACCUCUGCUAAGUAUGCACAUUGAUCAGUGUAAAGACAUAGGUACUGAUAUUGCCUUAGAAUUGAACUGUUUUCCCAGAGCUUCUCCCAGGGCAGAGCUAUUCUAUUCUCAACACUAGGAUUUGGAUGUUAACUCAGUUGAUCUGUGACUCUGGGAAGAUUGAUGUUUAUCUGUUGUCAAUUAGUUUUGUUAAACAAGGGAUGAUUUGGUAAAUUUUGUUAAAAUUUGGCGUUCCCUUAAUUAGUAUGUUCUUCACUAGAUGUGUCGGUGUGUUGGAUAUGAUUAACAGUCUUUUGCUAUAUUGCUCUGUAUUCUACUUCUUGAUUAAAGCUGCUCUGGCUAUUGAGAAAUAGUUCAUUUGAUGGUUUAGCAGAAAGUGUUAUUUUGUUCACAGCAAUGUAUAUAUUGCUUAAGAAUCUUGUGACUGU